GGGUUGUGAGGUUAAGCGACUAAGCGUACACGGUGGAUGCCCUGGCAGUCAGAGGCGAUGAAGGACGUGCUAAUCUGCGAAAAGCGCCGGCGAGGUGAUAUGAACCUUUGACCCGGCGAUGUCCGAAUGGGGAAACCCAGUGUGUUCCGACACACUAUCGUUAACUGAAUACAUAGGUUAACGAGGCGAACCGGGGGAACUGAAACAUCUAAGUACCCCGAGGAAAAGAAAUCAACCGAGAUUCCCCCAGUAGCGGCGAGCGAACGGGGAGCAGCCCAGAGUCUGAAUCAGCUUGUGUGUUAGUGGAAGCGUCUGGAAAGUCGCACGGUACAGGGUGACAGUCCCGUACACGAAAAUGCACAGGUUGUGAACUCGAAGAGUAGGGCGGGACACGUGGUAUCCUGUCUGAAUAUGGGGGGACCAUCCUCCAAGGCUAAAUACUCCUGACUGACCGAUAGUGAACCAGUACCGUGAGGGAAAGGCGAAAAGAACCCCGGCGAGGGGAGUGAAAAAGAACCUGAAACCGUGUACGUACAAGCAGUGGGAGCACCUUCGUGGUGUGACUGCGUACCUUUUGUAUAAUGGGUCAGCGACUUAUAUUCUGUAGCAAGGUUAACCGUAUAGGGGAGCCGAAGGGAAACCGAGUCUUAACUGGGCGUUAAGUUGCAGGGUAUAGACCCGAAACCCGGUGAUCUAGCCAUGGGCAGGUUGAAGGUUGGGUAACACUAACUGGAGGACCGAACCGACUAAUGUUGAAAAAUUAGCGGAUGACUUGUGGCUGGGGGUGAAAGGCCAAUCAAACCGGGAGAUAGCUGGUUCUCCCCGAAAGCUAUUUAGGUAGCGCCUCGUGAACUCAUCUUCGGGGGUAGAGCACUGUUUCGGCUAGGGGGCCAUCCCGGCUUACCAACCCGAUGCAAACUACGAAUACCGAAGAAUGUUAUCACGGGAGACACACGGCGGGUGCUAACGUCCGUCGUGAAGAGGGAAACAACCCAGACCGCCAGCUAAGGUCCCAAAGUCAUGGUUAAGUGGGAAACGAUGUGGGAAGGCACAGACAGCCAGGAUGUUGGCUUAGAAGCAGCCAUCAUUUAAAGAAAGCGUAAUAGCUCACUGGUCGAGUCGGCCUGCGCGGAAGAUGUAACGGGGCUAAACCAUGCACCGAAGCUGCGGCAGCGACGCUUAUGCGUUGUUGGGUAGGGGAGCGUUCUGUAAGCCGUUGAAGGUGGCCUGUGAGGGUUGCUGGAGGUAUCAGAAGUGCGAAUGCUGACAUAAGUAACGAUAAAGCGGGUGAAAAGCCCGCUCGCCGGAAGACCAAGGGUUCCUGUCCAACGUUAAUCGGGGCAGGGUGAGUCGACCCCUAAGGCGAGGCCGAAAGGCGUAGUCGAUGGGAAACAGGUUAAUAUUCCUGUACUUGGUGUUACUGCGAAGGGGGGACGGAGAAGGCUAUGUUAGCCGGGCGACGGUUGUCCCGGUUUAAGCAUGUAGGCGGAGGUUCCAGGUAAAUCCGGUACCUUUUAACGCUGAGGUGUGAUGACGAGGCACUACGGUGCUGAAGUAACAAAUGCCCUGCUUCCAGGAAAAGCCUCUAAGCAUCAGGUAACAUCAAAUCGUACCCCAAACCGACACAGGUGGUCAGGUAGAGAAUACCAAGGCGCUUGAGAGAACUCGGGUGAAGGAACUAGGCAAAAUGGUGCCGUAACUUCGGGAGAAGGCACGCUGAUAUGUAGGUGAAGCCCCUGCGGGUGGAGCUGAAAUCAGUCGAAGAUACCAGCUGGCUGCAACUGUUUAUUAAAAACACAGCACUGUGCAAACACGAAAGUGGACGUAUACGGUGUGACGCCUGCCCGGUGCCGGAAGGUUAAUUGAUGGGGUUAGCGGUAACGCGAAGCUCUUGAUCGAAGCCCCGGUAAACGGCGGCCGUAACUAUAACGGUCCUAAGGUAGCGAAAUUCCUUGUCGGGUAAGUUCCGACCUGCACGAAUGGCGUAAUGAUGGCCAGGCUGUCUCCACCCGAGACUCAGUGAAAUUGAACUCGCUGUGAAGAUGCAGUGUACCCGCGGCAAGACGGAAAGACCCCGUGAACCUUUACUAUAGCUUGACACUGAACACUGGUCCUUGAUGUGUAGGAUAGGUGGGAGGCUUUGAAGCGUGGACGCCAGUCUGCGUGGAGCCGUCCUUGAAAUACCACCCUUUAAUGGCUGGUGUUCUAACGUAGACCCGUGAUCCGGGUUGCGGACAGUGUCUGGUGGGUAGUUUGACUGGGGCGGUCUCCUCCCAAAGAGUAACGGAGGAGCACGAAGGUUAGCUAAUCCUGGUCGGACAUCAGGAGGUUAGUGCAAUGGCAUAAGCUAGCUUGACUGCGAGAGUGACGGCUCGAGCAGGUGCGAAAGCAGGUCAUAGUGAUCCGGUGGUUCUGAAUGGAAGGGCCAUCGCUCAACGGAUAAAAGGUACUCCGGGGAUAACAGGCUGAUACCGCCCAAGAGUUCAUAUCGACGGCGGUGUUUGGCACCUCGAUGUCGGCUCAUCACAUCCUGGGGCUGAAGUAGGUCCCAAGGGUAUGGCUGUUCGCCAUUUAAAGUGGUACGCGAGCUGGGUUUAGAACGUCGUGAGACAGUUCGGUCCCUAUCUGCCGUGGGCGCUGGAGAAUUGAGGGGGGCUGCUCCUAGUACGAGAGGACCGGAGUGGACGCAUCACUGGUGUUCGGGUUGUCAUGCCAAUGGCACUGCCCGGUAGCUAAAUGCGGAAAAGAUAAGUGCUGAAAGCAUCUAAGCACGAAACUUGCCCCGAGAUGAGUUCUCCCUGAGACUUUAAGUCUCCUGAAGGAACGUUAAAGACGAUGACGUUGAUAGGUCGGGUGUGUAAGCGCAGCGAUGCGUUGAGCUAACCGAUACUAAUGAACCGUGAGGCUUAACCUUACAACGCCGAAGCUGUU
rnacentral:rRNA from 2 species